rnacentral:rRNA from 1 species
GACGAACGCUGGCGGCGUGCCUAAUACAUGCAGGUAGAACGCACAGUUUAUACCGUAGCUUGCUACACCAUAGACUGUGAGUUGCGAACGGGUGAGUAACGCGUAGGUAACCUGCCUGGUAGCGGGGGAUAACUAUUGGAAACGAUAGCUAAUACCGCAUAAUAUUAAUUAUUGCAUGAUAAUUAAUUGAAAGGUGCAAUUGCACCACUACCAGAUGGACCUGCGUUGUAUUAGCUAGUAGGUGAGGUAACGGCUCACCUAGGCGACGAUACAUAGCCGACCUGAGAGGGUGAUCGGCCACACUGGGACUGAGACACGGCCCAGACUCCUACGGGAGGCAGCAGUAGGGAAUCUUCGGCAAUGGACGAAAGUCUGACCGAGCAACGCCGCGUGAGUGAAGAAGGGUGUCGGAUCGUAAAGCUCUGUUGUAAGAGAAGAACGGGUGUGAGAGUGGAAAGUUCACACUGUGACGGUAUCUUACCAGAAAGGGACGGCUAACUACGUG